rnacentral:rRNA from 1 species
GAUGAACGCUGGCGGCGUGCUUAACACAUGCAAGUCGAACGAAGCACUUUAUUUGAUUUCCUUCGGGACUGAUUAUUUUGUGACUGAGUGGCGGACGGGUGAGUAACGCGUGGGUAACCUGCCUUGUACAGGGGGAUAACAGUUGGAAACGGCUGCUAAUACCGCAUAAGCGCACGGCAUCACAUGAUGCAGUGUGAAAAACUCCGGUGGUAUAAGAUGGACCCGCGUUGGAUUAGCUAGUUGGUGAGGUAACGGCCCACCAAGGCGACGAUCCAUAGCCGACCUGAGAGGGUGACCGGCCACAUUGGGACUGAGACACGGCCCAAACUCCUACGGGAGGCAGCAGUGGGGAAUAUUGCACAAUGGGCGAAAGCCUGAUGCAGCGACGCCGCGUGAGCGAAGAAGUAUUUCGGUAUGUAAAGCUCUAUCAGCAGGGAAGAUAAUGACGGUACCUGACGAAGAAGCACCGGCUAAAUACGUG